CCCCUGAGAUAGCUCAGUCAGUCCAGCAGGAGACUCUUAAUCUCAGGGCUGUGGGUUCAAGCCCCAAGUCGCGGGGGU